rnacentral:rRNA from 1 species
GACGAACGCUGGCGGCGUGCUUAACACAUGCAAGUCGUACGGUAAGGCCCUUUCGGGGUACACGAGUGGCGAACGGGUGAGUAACACGUGAGUAACCUGCCCACAACUUUGGGAUAACGCUAGGAAACUGGUGCUAAUACUGGAUAUGUGCUCCUGCUGCAUGGUGGGGGUUGGAAAGCUCCGGCGGUUGUGGAUGGACUCGCGGCCUAUCAGCUUGUUGGUGGGGUAGUGGCCUACCAAGGCGGCGACGGGUAGCCGGCCUGAGAGGGUGACCGGCCACAUUGGGACUGAGAUACGGCCCAGACUCCUACGGGAGGCAGCAGUGGGGAAUAUUGCACAAUGGGCGCAAGCCUGAUGCAGCAACGCCGCGUGCGGGAUGACGGCCUUCGGGUUGGAAACCGCUUUCAGCAGGGACGAAGCUUUUUGUGACGGUACCUGCAGAAGAAGCACCGGCUAACUACGUG